rnacentral:rRNA from 1 species
AUUGAACGCUGGCGGCAGGCCUAACACAUGCAAGUCGAGCGAGCGGCGGACGGGGGAGGAAGGUCUGGGAAACUGCCUGAUGGAGGGGGAUAAAUACUGGAAACGGUAGCUAAUACCGCAGACCAUCAGAUGUGCCCAGAUGGGAGUAGCUGGUAGGUGGGGUAACGGCUCACCUAGGCGACGAGCCGAAGCUGGGCUGAGAGGAUGACCAGCCACACUGGACCUGAUACACGGUCCAGACUCCUACAGGAGGCAGCAGUGGGGAAUAUUGCACAAUGGGCGCAAGCCUGAUGCAUCCAUGCCGCGUGUGUGAAGAAGGCCUUCGGGUUGUAAAGCACUUUCAGCGGGGAGGCGUUACCCGCAGCCUCCGCACCGGCUAACUCCGUGCCAGCAGCCGCGGUCUUUC